GGUGUGUGUGUCUCGAGCUCCAGACAGUAGGAUCUGCACAGAGAGAAGCAGCCAAGAGCCUGCCUGAAACCUGGGAGGGACAGAGCAGCUGAUCGGGGACACCCCAGGACAGGAGCCAGGAGGAGCCCUGUUUCAGGGAGGAAUUGCCCAAAAAGGACAGACCGGAGCUGGACCCAGUAUCACUGCUGUCCAGAGCUGCAUGGGGCUUUUAUCAUCAUCAUGAAUUGAAGGAUGAGGACACCAAUGGAUCCACCACCACCUAGGAAUAUAACACAAGUUUCAAGAACUUAGGCUUGUCUGCAUGGCACGUUCAUGCAUGGCAUGCCAGCGCAUGAAUCUACAGUAUACAAGUUUGCCAAGCAAUAACAUCCUGCACGGACACUGCCAUGGCACACUGAAAGGCAAAAGCGAAGGAGGACAAGAUUCAUGAACUGCAGGAAGAGGAGUAGCUUGCCUGUACCCCAGAGAUUAAGGUGUGGCUGAGCAGUAGAUUUUCUGGGGUUAUUAUUAAAACAUCAUAUUCCAGAUCCACAGCUUUAAGCAACAUGCUUCUCUCAGCUAGCUGUU